rnacentral:rRNA from 1 species
GUGUCAGCAGCCGCGGUAAUACGAAGGGGGCUAGCGUUGCUCGGAACCACUGGGCGUAAAGCGCACGUAGGCGGACUCUUAAGUCGGGGGUGAAAUCCUGGAGCUCAACUCCAGAACUGCCUUCGAUACUGGGAGCCUUCGAGUUCGGGAGAGGUGAGUGGAACUGCGAGUGUAGAGGUGAAAUGCGUAGAUAUCUGGAGGAACACCGGUGGCGAAGGCGGCAUUCUGGACCACAACUGACACUGAGAGACGAAAGCCAGGGGAGCAAACGGGAUUAGAAACCCUUGUAGUCC